GUUGGAAUCAGAAGGGGAAAGAAGAGCCAGGCAAGAGGACUAGGUGGAAAAUACCAUAACUGUCCAUCAUGGAGAUGAUAAAUACCCUAAUAAAGGGCAGAUAAAGUAUCACUGGAGUUCAGGGGAAGAAGAUAUAACUCCUAGCUGUGGAGAUCGAGAAGACCUUGGAAGACGUGACUUUUGAGCAGAGAAUAUGUAAAAGUCUCCUCCAGUCUGUGACGGUUCCUCAAGCUCUCUUUUCACUUAUAACCCAGACACUGAAGAGUGCUGGGAUCUCAGCUCUGUCAUCACCACCACCUGUUAUCACGUCUCCAUUUCCAUCCUGUGUGCAUCCAUGUCCCCCUGCUUCUAUCUGCCCUCUCUGGCUGGACUCCCUCCCUACUUGCCAAGCCUUGCUUGUAAUAUCAUUUAGUAAGUUUUGGAGACCUAAGGUGAGCCCCAUAGAGACUGACAACUUCCUUCUCCAAUCUGUCUGUCUGUAAUUUUGUGAGCUGCCUCGAGGUGCCAAGUGACACCUCACGUCUGUCUCUCAUGACAGAAAUAAGUAGAAGAAGUAGGAACUGCCUUA